AGGGAGCAAGAGGCUAUCGAGGAAACCGGGGCGAAGAUGGUGAAAAUGGAAUUGAUGGGAUUGAUGGAGCAGAGGGAAAACAAGGAUCUCCUGGAUCUUCUGGAGAAAAAGGCAGUGCAGGAAGACGGGGUAGAAAAGGACCUAGAGGUGAAUUGGGUG